GUUGUGGGGUACAUUCCAUGCGUGAAUCCAAGUCCACAUGACCAGAGCUAUGAGCCUCAAUUCUCCACAUCCAUCACGAUCUUUCAAGCUUGGAGAGAGACAAUGGGUGAGGAAUGAAAGACGAAGGAAAGCAUCUUGUUUUGCAUUUCCCAUGGCCUGUCAUUGUGCUUACUACGCUUUUUCACCCUCACCACCGUACAAGGAUUUCUCCAUCGCCAAGCCAUCCACAAGAUCCAAACCUUUUCUUCUUUCCUCCAUUGCCAACGCUACUAGAGCUUCCUUCAACACCCUUGUCUCUCAGGUAUUCUCUUCUUCUCUAUUCUCUUCUAAUUCCACUUGUACUAUGUGUAAUCAAUGUAAUGGCAUUGUCUUUAAUUUGGAUUAAAGACUGAUGAUUAGAAGGUUGUGGAUUCUCGGAACUGCCAUUUCUGUUGAUUUCUGGCAUUUGGGCUUUAGCCUCUGGUACAUUGUUGGAUAAUGGUGCCUAUAUAGUUUCCUUUUGAAUUUGCUUGGUGGAUGUGAAAUUUCCAUGUGCAUUCAUAUUAUCAUUUUUUUUAGAAAGAGAAAUUGGAAAAGCAGGGGCUUGAAUAUUAAAUUCAUUAGCCUUUUUUGUUUUUGUUCUUAAUAAUUGCCUCUUAUGUGAAUGAACAGGCAGUCCUAUGUAUUCUUCAGAACAAGAGUGUCAUAUUCAGUGGUUUUACCAUUGUUUUCCACUAACUUACAAUUUGGCUGUCACUAGGCAGUUAGACAUUUGGUUCCUCCAGCAAGAUUU
rnacentral:misc_RNA from 1 species